GACGAACGCUGGCGGCGUGCUUAACACAUGCAAGUCGAACGGCGAAGCGCUGCUUUUGUGGGGUGCUCGAGUGGCGAACGGGUGUGUAACACGGGAGUAACCUGCCCUUGACUUUGGGAUAACUUCAGGAAACUGGGGCUAAUACCGGAUAGGCGCUCCUGCUGCAUGGUGGUGGUUGGAAAGUUUCGGCGGGUGGGGAUGGACUCGCGGCUUAUCAUCUUGUUGGUGGGGUAGUGGCUUACCAAGGCUUUGACGGGUAGCCGGCCUGGGAGGGUGACCGGCGACAUUGGGACUAAGAGACGGCCCAGACGCCUACGGGGGACAACAGGGGGGAAUAUUGCGCAAUGGGCGGAAGCCUGAUGCAGCAGCGCCGGGGGUGGGAUGACGGCCUUCGGGGUGUAAGCCGCUUUCGCCUGUGACGAAGCGUGAGUGACGGUAAUGGCUAAAGAAGCACCGGCUAACUACGUG
rnacentral:rRNA from 1 species